GAUGAACGCUGGCGGCGUGCCUAAUACAUGCAAGUCGAGCGAACGGACGAGGAGCUUGCUUUUCUUAUGUUAGCGGCGGACGGGUGAGUAACACGUGGAUAACCUACCUAUAAGACUGGGAUAACUGCGGGAAACCGGAGCUAAUACCGGAUAAUAUUUUGAACUGCAUGGUUCAAAAGUGAAAGACGGUCUUGCUGUCACUUAUAGAUGGAUCCGCGCUGCAUUAGCUAGUUGGUAAGGUAACGGCUUACCAAGGCAACGAUGCAUAGCCGACCUGAGAGGGGGAUGGCCCACACUGGAACUGAGACACGGUCCAGACUCCUACGGGAGGCAGCAGUAGGGAAUCUUCCGCAAUGGGCGAAAUCCUGCAGGAGCAACGCAGCGUGAGUGAUGAAGGUCUUCGGAUCGUAAAACUCUGUUAUUAGGGAAGACCAUAUGUGUAAGUAACUGUGCACAUCUUGACGGUACCUACUCAGAAAGCCACGGCUAACUACGUG
rnacentral:rRNA from 1 species